CUGACCUUGUGAUCCGCCCGCCUCGGCCUCCCAAAGUGCUGGGAUUACAGGCGUGAGCCACUGCGCCCGGCCCUAACAGUACUUUCAAAUGCAGAAGGGGUGAAUCUCACAAAAGAAAUCCAAAUUCUGUUUACCAGAAAAAGAGAGUGAAUGCAGAGGAGGAAAAACAAUGAAGAAAUAGAAAAACCAUGAAUCCCCAAGACACUGCUUGCUGUUCUUCUACCAUCCUCUGUAUCCUUUUCAGGUCUUUCUGCUACCUCUUACCCAUUUUUGAGAGCUCCAAAAGCCCUCUCUCUACCCUGAGUGGUUAUAGCUUUCCUGUAUAUUCUCCUGGUCCUCUAGUAGGGUUGGUCGCCAGUGCAUAUUUACAUUUUGUAUAACAUUUCAUGUCUCAUGAGUCAUAUUAUUUCACCCUCUCCUGCCUCACCUGUGCUAGAAUGUAAAUAUCCUUGGUCCAUUGUUUCCAGCCCUUGUGAUGAAAUGUUUCACGAGCUGUUUUUCAAAAUUCCUAGAGUUCCUCACUUAUGCCUAUGCUUCUUUAAAAAGUAAUUAAAUAUGUGUAAGGUGAACAAUAAGAGUUUGCAAAUCAGUGUCUAUUUCAGUAAUAAAAAGUAAUCGAGUAGAUACACCUUAGGAUUUUCACUUCCACCUAAGACGUAGAAAACUGCAAGACAAUGUUACUCCUAUCCUAACAACAAAAAUUUAUCAAUUUUCUUAUAUCCUUCAGAGAAAGUAGCCAAAGGAACUGAAUUUCAAAGAGUGACAAGUCCCCUUCAAAGAGAAACAGGAUAUGUGAACUGUUUUGCCUUCAUCAGAGAAUAGGAGGCUGCCAUUAAAGCAAGUGAGAAUAAAUUAUAAAGAAUUUAGAAGCACUCCUUGCAAGUUAGUUUGCCUCAGAUUCCUGAAUUGGAAACAAAGGACUUUAUUACACCAGUAGCAUUAGUCGGAGUGUCAGCAUCCCCACAGUGUUAUCAGAAGAGGUCCAGGUGAUACCUGCACACAGAGUGGAUUGCAUAACAGAAAGAACCCUGAGUUUAGGGAGCCCAAAUAUGUUAUAAUGGAUAUUUAGCAUGCAUGCCCUUUGCUCUGGAGGAAUAGAUCUUUAUUAUACUGGACAGUAAUCAAACUUGUCCUUCUAGAGGGAGAUACUCUCUAGGGAGAUGAUAUCUCUAUUGGUCUUUCCAGGCUGUUCUUUAUAUAAAUAUCCUUGAAAAGGUAGUCCAGAAGAAAGGCAGGCAGUACCUUUCCAUGCAAUCAUGCAAAAAUGUGAGAGACCCAUGGAGAAUUGUCUACUGACAGAAAUCAUUAAAUGUUAAGGAAUUCUUUAAAGGCCAACUGUGUAAUCAAUAUCAGUUUAAAUAGGUCCCUUGACAUGACAGAGGUUCACAAUCACUUUCCACAAGCCUCAACUGCAUGCUAAUGAGAAAGACUGGGGCAAGAGACUGGUGAGAAGAGACCCCUCAGUGACACAGGCAUGCAUGAAAUGAUGGGCUGACAGGCGUGAAACACUGCCCACUUCCUCAGACCUUUCUCUUGUACAAAGCAAAGCCACUGGGGGAGAGAUGGCAAACCUUCCUGCCCUAAUGGCCCAGGCAGAGAUCCACUGCUCUUGAAGGACAUGUAAAAACAGUAAUCUUUUGCCCUUGAGAAAGGCAGAAAAUCUUGUGGGCCCAGGAUCCUGUGCCAAUACCAAGCAGAGAUCCACUCUCACUAGAAGUACAGAAAAUCUCUCCUGUUCAAGAAUUCCCCAAACUGAUAAGUAUAUAAUUCAAAUUGCAAUAAUGCAAUGAAGAUGUAGAGGGAAGUGAUAGAGAAUGAUUAUGAUUAGAGGACCACCUACUUAAGUACAGUGGUGAGGUGAGUCCUCCAUAAUGAGGUGAUAUUUGAGCUAAGACUUAAAAGGAUGAGAUAGCCACCCUAGAUGAGAAUAAAGAGCAUUCUGGAUAGAGGAAUAGCAUCUGGAAGACUCCGGAAAGAUUUUGGCUUAUGUGAAGAAUGGAAUACAACCAAUGUGGCUGGAGUCUAAUGGGCAAGGGGGGCAAUAGAGAUGAGGCUGGAGAGCUAGGAAGAGGCAGCAUUACGCAGGGUUUUGGAAGACAUGGAUGGUAAAGAAUUUAUUUCAAGUGCACCAAGAAGCAGGGGAGAAAUAUGGGAUGCAAAACUUCAGAAGAAUAUUCUGGUUGCCACAAGGAGUGGUCAUAGAGAUGGAGAAUUGAGGAUGGAUUUGAGCUGUAUUUUGGAGGUUUGACCUAUAGACCUUGCUGAUGAAUUGGAUCUAGGUUUUGAGGGAAAAGGAAGAACUACAAAUGACUCAAGUUUCUGAUUUAGUAACUGAAAGAACGUGGUGCUAUUUACUGAAAUGAGGAAUAGGAAAGCUGGGAUGGUGUUGGGGGUGGACAGAAAAUCAAAAGUUUUAUUGUGUCUAAGAGUGAAAAACCUAUUUGAUUUCAAGUUGACAGUAGGAUACUUCAGUAUGGAGCUCAGUGGAGAGCUUUUCUUCAUUGAUUCAACAAAUAUUGUUUAUUGUCUGCCAGGCACUGUUUUUGGCAAUGAGAAUAAAACAGCCCCUUUCUUCAUGGAACUUACAUUCUAGUGCAGCUGCCAAGUGUCUCCGUUGGCCUGAAGAUGACGAAGGAGGGAUUUCGUUGUGUAGAAAGCUCUAAAUCUUCCCAGGAACCCAUGAACCGCUUGUGCCUCAGAGAUACAACCUAACCAGCUACCCAGUUCUUUGUGCCAUGAAACUCCUUCAGAAUGUCUGGUUUAUUGUACUGAGAGUGACUAUUGCAUCUAAAUCACUUCUCCAAAGUUACCAGGAGAGGACUCUAAGGUCACACCAGCCCCAGAUGGUCUUGACAAAUGUGAACAGUGAGCAUGAAAAGCAGGAAAUGCAGGAAAACAAGACAGAGGAAAUGGUAGAUCCAUUUGUAUCUUUUAAGGAGACAUGGUGAAAAAAAAUCCAUGAUAAGCUGUAAACCUGAAGAUGAAUCAUGAAAAAAUAAUUGCCAUGAAACUGUAGUAAAUUCCCAGGUGUGUGGGGAAGAGAGACUCCAUGUUUUAGAAGAUAAAUUACACUCAAGUCCCAAGAAGGAAGAUCUGAGUGGUAGAUGUUUCCAUUUUUAUAUUACUAAUGAUGAAACUAAGGCUCAGAGAGGUAAAGGAGCUUGCCUAAGAUGCUCUGAAAAUAUGUGGGAGAAACCACCAAACCAUUAUUAUAAUAAAUGAUCAUAAAUGAUAAAAUAAAGAAAAACCCAUAAGAGAGGAAAAUAAACGCCAGGACACUGUGAAAGGCCUGGCAAAUGCAACCUACAAUCCAUUUUGUGAUAUUGAUGAACUAUAACAUCGAUUUACCCUGUUUUUGUCACCAAAGGAAGCCACUGAGCCAUGGUUAUGAGAUUUCUUCUUGGACAUUUGAAAGUGAGAUUUUCCAAAUUCUUAUUUUUCAGAAGUUGAUGAAUUUCAGCCCUAGGCAGGAUUUUUAUAAAACAAAUUUAAGGGAGAAUAUAUUUUAGAUAAUUUAUUUGUGCUGCCAUUUAUCACCUGUUGGUUGAAGACUGGUGUUUUAGGUGAUGCUGUUAUAAGUAGUACUGCAAACACUUUCUGCUUUUAAGUGUGUACAGGUCUCAGAAUCUGAAUUACAUGGUAUAGUGCUUUUGUAAAGUGUAUGUUUUCAAUGGUAUAAAGGACUUUUAAAGUUUAUUUUGAUAUUUUAAAUCAUCAAUCACCUGUAUAUAGAAUUUGUUGUUUUUCACCUUUUCUACGUUGUUACAAAUGUAUCCCAGUCACUCGGCCAUAGUUGUCUAGGUUUUCACAAAGGUGUUUCUUUUCUCCAUGUCUUUUCCAAAAGACUUUCCAAGCUCUAGGAUUCAAGGCAGACCUCUCAUACCUCUUACAUCUUACUUAAAUCUGAUUUGGGCUUCAGGGAAAACACUGAAGACACAACCAGUACCUGAAACAUUUUUAGUCUUAGUGUUUUGAUUUAUCCUUGGUCACUUCCCCUAGCCUAUGAAGGGAAUUUCUGAUUGAGUUCUGCAUCUCUGAUUUUUAAAAUUUUGAUCAUAAUUCAUUUUUCCUGAGAAAGCAUUUUUAUAUUUUAGGAGUAUAAACCCAAGAAUUCACAAAGGUAUUUUUUCUUAUAGGAAUGCAUGAGAUGAUUUGCCUUUCUAAAAGUAAAUGUAAAACCUAUAAACUAUGUGAUUAUACUUUCCCAAGUUUCUAGGAAUCAACCCAAGUGCAAUUAUUAUAAACAUGUAAGAAAUCAUGUCUACCAUUGAAAAUAUAAAAUUUAAAAAUAUAUAUUUGUUCAUAACAGAACCUAUAAUCAGCAACUUCUUUGUUUUCCUUGUCUUACUGUUCCUUCUUGUAAUUGUUGACAGACACGCAUUUUAAAAAGAAUGAAAGUUCAGUAUUUGUGGGAAAGAAUUUCAGAGUUAUUUCUAGUAAUUCCCUUGCUCCCUUAAUGAGCCGGUAUGAGAUUUUUUUUAAUGUGUAGAAGACUUUAUUUUGUUAACACUUGCUCUAAUCUAGCUUCAUAAAGUGGAAGUUUUCUCUCUCCACUGAUGCUAUGGGAAAUCUGAGAAUUCAGGCCCUAUCCAUUGCUGUUGGUCCAUCCCCCUGAAAAUGAUCUUUAGCUUUUGGUCUGCUAGAGAAAAAUAAUGAUUUUUAUGGCUCCAAAGUGUCCUUUUAAAAUAGAGAUUUUUUUGAUAUCUUUCAACUCACCUUUUAUGUUUUCUGAUAAUAAUAAAAUAAUCCUCUGAGUAAAUGCCCUUUUAUACAGAUGUGUGACAAGUAGUUGAAUGGACAGAACUUCUAGUUGAAUAAAUAAUUUUGUACUUUUUUAAAAUUAAGAAUUACUUUUUUUUUUUUGAGACAGAGUCUGGC
rnacentral:lncRNA from 1 species